GAUGAACGCUGGCGGCGUGCCUAAUACAUGCAAGUCGAGCGAACAGACGAGGAGCUUGCUCCUCUGACGUUAGCGGCGGACGGGUGAGUAACACGUGGAUAACCUACCUAUAAGACUGGGAUAACUUCGGGAAACCGGAGCUAAUACCGGAUAAUAUAUUGAACCGCAUGGUUCAAUAGUGAAAGACGGUUUUGCUGUCACUUAUAGAUGGAUCCGCGCCGCAUUAGCUAGUUGGUAAGGUAACGGCUUACCAAGGCAACGAUGCGUAGCCGACCUGAGAGGGUGAUGGGCCACACUGGAACUGAGACACGGCGCAGACGCCUACGGGAGGCAGCAGUAGGGAAUCUUCCGCAAUGGGCGAAAGCCUGACGGAGCAACGCCGCGUGAGUGAUGAAGGUCUUCGGAUCGUAAAACUCUGUUAUUAGGGAAGAACAAAUGUGUAAGUAACUAUGCACGUCUUGACGGUACCUAAUCAGAAAGCCACGGCUAACUACGUG
rnacentral:rRNA from 1 species